rnacentral:lncRNA from 1 species
CUCUCUCCUCUCUCUCUCUCUUCUAUAUAUUAUAUAGUAUAUUAUAUUUAUAUAUAUAUAUAAUAUAUAUACUAUAUAGAGACUUAUAUAAUGUCUAGAUUAUCUCUAUGCCUGUAUAUGUUUUCUGUAUAAAAUGGAAAUAUAUUGCUUUGUAACAUACUUUUCUUUUAUCACAAUUUUUGGGAGCUCAUGGUACAGUGCUUACCUACAUUUGUAAAGCUGUGUGUCUGGAAUCUCUGGUCUUGGUAAGUGGAGGUAGGAGGAUCAAAGAACAAGGUGAUCUUUUGCUCUGAAGAAAUGGAGGCCAUCGUGACAUAACUUAAGACACUGUCUGAAAGGAAAAAAUGAAAUAAAAUUAAACUUUCUUGAUCCCUUUGCUCAUGACUGCUCCCUCUCUACAACUGGAUUCCAGGAACUUGGCUCAGUGCUUACCUGUGCUGGUACAGCCUUGCAAACAUGGUGAAUAUUCUUAAGAGCUGCCAGACUUUCUACAAACAUUUUAAACACCAGCCCGACAAAGUGACACAGCACAACAAGAAUUGAUUAGAAUCCUCGGUCUGUUGAGGAGCAGCAACAAUGCCAGUAGCUGAGUGGGGGUCCUCAUAUCUGUGCUGUUACCUGUGUGAGGCUGACUCCAGCACAAGGUUUGUGAAGAAUCAUGCUGGGAUUGUGAUGCAGAUUGCUUUGAAUUGGUAGAUUACUUUUGCUAGUGCCAGGAGGCUUUCCCUAUAAUAAAAUGGAACCUCCUGAAACUGAGAAGCUUCUG